rnacentral:rRNA from 1 species
ACGUAGGGCCAUGCCACCCUGAACAUGCCCAAUCUCAUCUGAUCUCAGAAGCUAAGCAGGGUCAGGCCUGGUUAGUAUUUGGAUGGGAGACCACCUAGGAAUAUCAGGUGCUGUAGGCA